rnacentral:lncRNA from 1 species
GAUCGAAUACAUGGAUAAACAAAAAGAAAAAGGGUUCUUCGACGUGUUUAUGAGACUGCUUAUUUCGUUGCAUGGAAAAAACUCAUCUAUGGAAACAUGAAAAUCAAAAGGCAAUCAAAUAUUUAUUCCCAGGGACUUCUUGAGCUUCUCAACUUCCAAAUAUACUGUUGAGUAUGGAAGGAACUCCGAGGCAAUCAAAUAUUUAUUCCCAGGGACUUCUUGAGCUUCUCAACUUCCAAAUAUACUGUUGAGUAUGGAAGGAACUCCGAGAAAUGUUCUUUGCUCAGGUCAUUGAUUGCUACCGCGAGUUUAGGGAUUUCUAAGGUUUCUUCAUGGGU